rnacentral:rRNA from 1 species
AGAGUUUGAUCCUGGCUCAGGAUGGACGCUAGCUACAGGCUUAACACAUGCAAGUCGGGGGGAAACGACAUCGAAAGCUUGCUUUUGAUGGGCGUCGACCGGCGCACGGGUGAGUAACGCGUAUCCAACCUGCCCACCACUUGGGGAUAACCUUGCGAAAGUAAGACUAAUACCCAAUGACGUCUCUAGAAGACAUCUGAAGGAGAUUAAAGAUUUAUCGGUGAUGGAUGGGGAUGCGUCUGAUUAGCUUGUUGGCGGGGUAACGGCCCACCAAGGCGACGAUCAGUAGGGGUUCUGAGAGGAAGGUCCCCACAUUGGAACUGAGACACGGUCCAAACUCCUACGGAGGCA